CUGUUUACACCCAUUACAGCAUUGAGCAAUAUCACCAUGGUCUUAAUUUUUAAGAAUGGAAAAUGAAAAGGACAUUUACUGAAGAAAUUGGAGACCAGGCACCAUUUCUAGAACAUCUGAUCUAAAACAGCUGGUUCAAGGAGUGGCCUUAACAAGCAGUCUCAAAGGAUAGAUUUUGGAGUUGAAUUUAUCACUGGCUACAUGACAGUGAGUACCACAUUGCUGAAGGAGUAUAGACUAGGCAGUGAGCAUCUCUCAAUCCACAGAAGAUAACAAAUGAUAUGAAUUCCUCUGAGAAGACUUUGGUACCAAAAAGAAUAUUCAAGAUUAGUUUGCUUCCCUUUCCUACUGGGGAGGAUCCAGUAUAGAAGCAUGCCAUAUUUCACUUAAAGCUUCAGCAGAAGGCAAAAAAGAAAAAAAUGCUUUGUACCGAUUGAUUUAUUAUUUGCGUCAAAGCCUCUUGACAGAUUCUGGAGAAGAGGAUUCUAAUAAUAGCCAAGAUUACCUGCUUUCUGGUGCUGAGACCUGUUUGCCAGUCUAACAGAGGUAUCCAAAAGGAUUUAGAAGGGGACUCUCUAUGGUGAUGUAGAGUCCUCAAGCUGCAUGUCACCUUGAAUCUACUCUCAGGGUAGCCUUCAAGUGACAAUAACACAAUUUGUUUCUAUUCUUUAAAAUGAAUUAAAAACUUGACCCAUGAAAAUAA